rnacentral:piRNA from 1 species
UGAGGACAGACUGAAUGCACUUUGCA